GGCGGGGCUGUCCAGAGUAGCCGCCACGGUCGCCGCCGCCUGGGCCGGGAAGCGAUGUAGGAGCCGCCAGGCCGUUCCCCGCCCUGCCCGGCCGGAGCCCAGCGGGCCGCCACCACUGCCGCCAUGAAGAAGCAAUUCAAUCGCAUGAAGCAGCUGGCCAACCAGACCGUGGGCAGAGCUGAGAAAACAGAAGUCCUCAGUGAAGAUCUGCUGCAGAUUGAGCGGCGCUUGGAUGCUGUGCGGUCAAUGUGCCACCAUUCCCAUAAGCGUCUGAUUGCGUGCUUCCAGGGCCAACAUGGCACUGAUGCUGAGAGGAGACACAAAAAACUCCCCCUGACAGCACUUGCUCAGAAUAUGCAAGAAGCCUCUACUCAGCUGGACGAAUCUCUCCUGGGGAAGAUGCUGGAGACAUGUGGUGAUGCUGAGAAUCAGCUGGCUCUGGAGCUCUCUCAGCAUGAAGUCUUUGUUGAGAAGGAGAUUGUGGACCCUCUCUACAGCAUAGCAGAGGUGGAGAUUCCCAACAUACAGAAGCAAAGGAAACAGCUUGCUAGAUUGGUUUUGGACUGGGAUUCAGUCAGAGCUAGGUGGAACCAAGCCCACAAAUCUUCAGGCACCAACUUCCAGGGGCUUCCAUCAAAAAUAGAUACCCUGAAAGAAGAGAUGGAUGAAGCUGGAAAUAAAGUAGAGCAGUGCAAGGAUCAGCUCGCUGCAGACAUGUACAACUUCAUGGCCAAAGAAGGGGAAUACGGCAAAUUUUUUGUUACGUUAUUAGAAGCCCAAGCAGAUUACCAUAGAAAAGCAUUAGCAGUCUUAGAAAAGGCCCUUCCCGAAAUGCGAGCCCAUCAAGAUAAGUGGGCGGAAAAGCCAGCCUUUGGGACGCCUUUGGAAGAACACCUGAAGCGAAGUGGGAGGGAGAUUGCACUUCCCAUUGAGGCCUGUGUCAUGCUGCUCCUGGAGACCGGCAUGAAGGAAGAGGGCCUUUUCCGAAUCGGGGCUGGUGCUUCCAAGUUAAAGAAGCUGAAAGCGGCUUUGGACUGCUCCACUUCUCACUUGGAUGAAUUCUAUUCUGACCCCCAUGCUGUGGCAGGUGCUUUGAAGUCCUAUUUACGGGAAUUGCCUGAACCUUUGAUGACUUUUAGUCUGUAUGAAGAAUGGACACAAGUUGCAAGUGUGCAGGAUCAAGACAAAAAACUUCAAGAUUUAUGGAGAACAUGUCAGAAGUUGCCACCACACAAUUUUGUUAACUUUAGGUAUUUAAUCAAGUUCCUUGCAAAGCUCGCUCAGACCAGUGACGUUAAUAAAAUGACUCCCAGUAACAUUGCAAUCGUAUUAGGCCCUAACUUGUUAUGGGCCAAAAAUGAAGGAACCCUUGCUGAGAUAGCAGCAGCCACCUCUGUACAUGUAGUCGCAGUGAUUGAACCCAUCAUUCAGCACGCUGACUGGUUCUUCCCUGAAGAGGUGGAAUUUAAUGUAUCAGAAGCAUUUGUACCUCUUAGUACCCCGAAUUCUAAUCACUCAUCCCACACUGGAAAUGACUUUGACUCGGGGACCCAGGAGAGGAAGCGGCCAGCCAGCAUGGCAGUGAUGGAAGGAGACCUGGUGAAGAAGGAGAGCUUUGGUGUGAAGCUUAUGGACUUCCAGGCCCACCGGCGGGGUGGCACUCUAAAUAGAAAGCACAUAUCCCCUGCUUUCCAGCCACCACUCCCGCCUACAGAUGGCAGCGCCUUGGCUCCAGCAGGCCCAGAGCCCCCUGCCCAGAGCUCUCGGGCUGAAAGCAGUUCAGGGGGUGGGGCUGUCCCCUCCUCUGCAGGCAUACUGGAGCAAGGGCCAAGCCCAGGUGACAGCAGUCCUCCAAAACCCAAGGACUCUGCACCUGCAGCUGUCCCUGCAUCCGGGAGAAGCAGCAGUCAGGUGACUGCUGGCCAGAACCAGGCCCAGGCAGGUGCCGGCUCCCAUCAGCUCUCGGUUGGCCCGGCCCACAGUGCUGCUGAUCCUAGCCCUCACACACUCCGCAGGGCUGUUAAGAAACCUGCUCCAGCACCUCCAAAACCAGGAAACCCACCUCCUGGCCAUCCCGGGGGCCAGAGUUCUUCAGGAACAUCUCAGCUUCCACCAAGUGUGUCACCAAAGCCAGCCACUCGAAGUCCUUCUCCUCCCCCUCAGCACACAGGCCAGGUGCCAGGCCAGCCACCAGCCACUGCCCAGCCGUCUGCACCCCGGAGGUACUCCAGCAGCCUGCCUCCAAUCCAAGCACCAAGUCACCCACCGCCACAGCCCCCAACCCAGGCCACUCCACAGGUGCACACCAGGCUGAACAACCAGGGAAGCCCCUCCUCUGGGGCUCUGCCCAGUGAGCAUGGACUCGAGCAGCCAUCUCAUACCCCUCCCCAGACUCCAACUCCCCCCAGUACCCCACCUCUGGGAAAACAGAACCUCAGUCUGCCAGGAUCGCAGACCCAGGCAGUGAAUAACCCUGAAAUUGCACAACCACAUACUGGAACCCUGCUGAGACCCAGACCAGUACCAAAGCCUCGGAACCGACCCAGCAUGCCUCCACCCCCUCAUCCUCCCAGUGCCCACCCAGCUGGGGACAGCAGCAUGGCCAAUGCAGCUCUGACAGCUUCUAAAAUAGUGACAGAUGCCCUUCCUAGUGCCCUCACAGGUGGGGAAGGUUUCCAGGACUAAGAUGUAUGACCUGCCAUAUUCAGUAAGAACUGAAAUUGGAAUAUUUAAUGACACCAAUUCUAGGGUUUCAGAACCGCUUCGCAGCAUCUUUCCUGAAAUGCACUCAGACUCAGCAAGCAAAGACGUGCCUGGCCACAUUCUGCUGGAUAUAGACAAUGACACGGAGAGUACCGCCUUGUGAAGAAAGCCACCUCCCAGCCCGUGACCCCUGCCACCUUGGUGCGUGGAAUUGGGGCAGGCGACCCUCUGUCCUUGCAGACCAAACAGUGAAAAGCUUUCAGUGGAGAAGGCCUCACCACAUAGGACUCGGCCCUCUGCACAGCCCAGGAGAAUGUGGAGGCCAGCACUUAAAGCUGAAUGACCUGUGUCUUGAAGAAAUCGGCUUUCUUUACGUAGGAAAGAAAUCAUGCCAAAAAAAAAAAGUCAGAAAUCAAAGAAAUACCUAAGGUGAGAAGAGUAUUACUGCUAAGAAGUGUAUGGGGAACUUUUGUCACUGCUGUUGACAUGGGCAGCACCAACAGCAGCUUGGAACGAACAAGAAUGAACACGUUUACUCUCUAUUUAAUAAAGCACAUCAGUUACACAAGUCACCUACUGCCUGCUACUCACACUUUCAUUCUCAUACCUUAGGAGGGAGGCUUCUCUCCUUCAGACUUGCUGCAGAAUUAUUUUGUAUUAAGUAUGGUUUUUGUUUCCCUCGGUCCUCUCAAUCCGCGUGCAUUGAUGGUGACUGCUGGAUCUGUCACCUCAUCAAACUGGAUAUGACUGUGCCUUGUUGGAUUGCCAGAAUGUAGAUAGAAAUGUACUGUUUUUUUUUUUUUAAAACAAUGUAAUUGCUACUUGAUAAGGACCGAAAGUUAUUCUAGUUUCAUGUUUAAUUUGAAUUAAAUAUAUUCUGUGGUUUAUAUGACAA